UACGUAGGGUGCAGGCGUUAAUCGGAAUUACUGGGCGUAAAGCGUGCGCAGGCGGUUUGCUAAGAGAGAUGUGAAAUCCCCGGGCUUAACCUGGGAACUGCGUUUCUAACUGGCAGGCCUGAGUGUGGCAGAGGGGGGUGGAAUUCCACGUGUAGCAGUGAAAUGCGUAGAGAUGUGGAGGAACACCGAUGGCGAAGGCAGCCCCCUGGGCUAACACUGACGCUCAUGCACGAAAGCGUGGGGAGCAAACAGG
rnacentral:rRNA from 1 species